GGGGUGGUUGCGGGUGAUCGAGGUGGACGAGGAGGAGGCCGAGGAGACCGAGGAUUUGUGCACAGAUUCGGAGUAUAACCCGAGGUGGUUAGCGGUGGUCGUUGGAGGUAGUUGGCGGUGGUUGGAGGUGGUUGGCUGUGGUUACGGGUGGUUGCAGGUGAUCGAGGUCGACGAGGAGGUGGACGAGGAGACCGAGGAUUUGUGCACGGAACCCGCAGGUUUGAAGUGGGAAAAUCGCUAUUUGCAGUUGUCUGGAGCCAAUCGGAAGGUUGAAUAGAAAGGGGUGUUACGAAAGGCCCUUUUGACUUUCGCGACACGCGCUAGGCGUCAAGCUGCUUGCUCAGCGCAUUCCUUCGAGAAUCGCUGCCCCGCACACAACCAGAUGAGUGCACCGACACCGGAAGGUGGCGCGAUGGCUACUCUGCAGAAUAACGCCCCACCACCGACGAAAUCGAGCUGUAAUCGGUAAAUCAAUCGACACCAUCAGGUCAGUCGUAAUUGAGGAGUGUGAGAUCAUUGAGAUCUCAGCCUGGAGAUGAGUGAGUGGUGCGCCCCAUCGAUCGGACCGGCCAUUGGAAAGGACCUUCCAUCACCCAGAAAAGGCAACGUGGAGACUCAGGAAUUCCUGACGGAACAACUCGGCAACUCGGUGGUGCGUCCUAGGAGUCACCCUCGCGCUACCCAAGGUGGCCCGCUCCUUGACUCCGCUUUUUAUAAACCGUAACGUAGUACUUAGUCAUACUAGUCAUUCGCUCUAUCACAUUUUAAUAGUUUAAUUGAUUACACUACUCGUUCUUAAUCUCUCUUUGUCAUUUACAAU